GGGUGGUGUUUGUAGCCUGAAUACACUUCCUAUCUUGCUUCUGCUUCUCUCAGCUAUUGGAUUCGAGCAGACUGUUAGUGCUGUGCCUUCCCCACCUCGAUGAACUAUAUACCCUCAAAUUGAGAGAUGAGCUAAAUUCUCCCUCCCCUAAAGUCCUUGUUGAAGGCAUUUUACCACAGUGACCAGAAAGUAGUCACAUAGGAAGCAGUUCCUCUUUUGCAUGCAUCCCCGUGUGUUUGUGCAGUUUGUACAAUCAGCACUAGAUCAAGGCAGAAUGUUCUCUUCCCAAUGUCCAGAACCCCACCCCAUACUCCUUCCUGCCUUGAUUUCUCACAGUGUCCAUUACUUUAAUUUCUUGUUGACUUCAAUAUCAAUACAAAGUAAAUGUCUUUUUCAUUUGCCCUCUUUGUUCAAUGUCGGAUCUAUGGAAUCUAUCUCUUGAUCUCAUAUGUAACUGUCAAUUAUACAUCCUCAUGGCUAUAUUCCAUACUGAGGACACAUGUCCACAACUCUAUAAUUGGCAUUUGGAUGUCUUCUGUUUCCAGCUACCAGUGAAUUGUGCUGUGAUCAACAGCCUUUUAUGUGUUUUGAGCAGGCAUGGUGGUACAUCCCAGUGAUCCCAGCACUUGGGAAGUAGAGGCUGGAGGAUCAGGAGUUCAAGGUCAAGGUUGGUUAUAGAGGUGAGUCCAGGUCAGCCCAAGCUACACAAGACCCUGUGAUGGUUACUUUGAUCAGUGACUUGGCACAAUGUACAGUCAUUUGAGAAGAGUGUCUCAGUGAGGAGUUGUCUGGUUCAGACUGGCCUGUGGACCUACCUACCUGUGAGAGAUAUUCUUAAAUGGGUUAAUUAAGGUAGAAAGACCCCACCCUGCAUGUGAAAGCUACCAUCUCAGUGCUUUGGCCUUAGACUGAAAGAAAAGCAGAGAGUAAGUUGAGGUCUCCAUACUGGACUCUGAGGUAAUAUGAUAAGUUUCCUCAAACUCCUGCUGUUAUGGCCUCCCCACCAGCAUGGAGGAACCUGGAACUAUGAGCAGAAUAAACCCAUACUCUCUUGAGUUGCUUUUAUCUGAGUAUUUUAUCACAGCAACAAGAAAGGAAAUAAGACAGACCUUGUCUUAAGAACAAAGUGUAAAACUGAAAUAUAUUUCAAUUGAACUGCUUAAACUCAUCUUAGGUUGUCCCCUGACCAAGUCCUGGUAGGUACCAGCAGGUCACCUUCCAUUUGACUGUUAUCAGGGGCAUUUGAGGACUGUGGCUGCUAUUUGGACUUUUUGUCAUUUGGGGCCUUAUUGAUGCUGAUUUCCCCCCUUUUCUGGUUCUGGUUCAGGGCAUAGUGGGGUCACUCUGCCGUUUAAACUUGUAAGAUUAGUCUUACUCUUAAGUAGGAAAUUUCCUAAUGUAUUGGCCACUCUGAUUCAGUUUUGUCAUCUGGAAGUCUAGAGGUGUGUGUCACUUUCCUUUCAGAUAAUCUGUCCCAUUUAUUUAUCUGGGUCUUUUAUAUAUUUGGCUGAGACUGUAUUCACAGACAUUUGUCCCAUAAAUAUCCUCACUUGAACUCUCCCUUGCUUUUGUGCUCAAGGGUUUAGUUGAUGAAUUCUGGCUUUUACUCUCAGUGUCCUUUAUUAGUUUUCUUGUUCACAGUUCGGACCUUAACUAUUGCUCAAGAUUCUUUGUUACCUUCAGAAUGACACAGAUAACCUCAUAAAUUGCUUUCUAUAUUUUUUCUACCUUUAGAUUUUAAAUCUAUCAGGAAAUGAUUUCUUGUGCAUCUAUUUGGUAAAAGCAAAGGGUGGUGAAAAUUUCCGCAUGUGACUAUUCAGUUGAUAGGUUUUAAAUUAAGUCUUUUAUUCACAGAACUGCUGUGCUGUUACCUCUCCGUGUGCUGUUUUCUUGCAUGAGUACUGUGUGCGGUAAUCACUGUCAGUAUCAAUAGUCUGUCAAUUACCAUAGCCUCAAAUCCUUACCCUUCUAAGCUGAUCAAGGUGCAUACCUGAAGUUCCUUUACCAGGGAGGCUGAGGCAGUAAGGCAGCUGCUCCUAACCUGUGGAUUCUGACCCCUUAGUGAGGCUGAAUGACCCCUUCACAGGGGUCCCAUACCAAAUAGCUUGCCUAUCAGGUGUUUACGUUACGAUUCAUGAGAGUAGAAAAAUUAUAGUUAUUAAGUAGUAGCAAAAAUGAUUUUAAGGUUGGGGGGGGGGGCACCACAACAUGAGAAACUGUAUUAGGGUCUUAGUAUUGGGAAGGUUGAGGACCACUGUAAUAAAGUCACCUGAGUUCAAGGAUUUGAGACUGGGAAGCAUAGAGAGAACCCCCCCCCCCCAUCCCAGUAUCACAAACAAAACCGAACAACCAAACAAGGCCCACCACACUCUUAGGAACAUGCAUAAUAAAGACAGCUGUUUACACAGAACUAUGAGCUAUUACUGGUCAAAGAUGGAAUAUUCUAUAUAUACGGCAGUAUACGUAUGGUAUGUAUGUAUGUGCAUAUAAGUUGCCAUAGCUUUAUAAUAGGUUGCUUCUGGUUUUGUUUGAAGCUGGCUCUCAUGUAGUCAGAUGAGUUUCAAACUCAUUAUGCAGCUGAAGAUGAUUUUAAACUCUUGAUCUCCCUACCUCCACCUUCCAAGUGCCAGGAUUAAAGGCAUGAGAUAUCACAUCCAGUGAAUAGAUCUUGAACUGUGAAUAGUAACUUAUAUUCUUCAAAAUUGCCUCAGCUACUCUUAUAGCCCAUCUCCCCAUACUCAUCUUUUUCACCUUCGUGAUUAGUUAUUAAAAAAAUAGCGGGUGUUGUUAUGACAUUUCAUCCAUGCACAUACAUUUUGAUCACCUUGAAUCCCCUAUUGUCAUGUCCCUCCUUCUCUUCCCUUCUAAGCCUUCCUUCUGAUUUCAUGUGUUAUCACUAUUAUUUUGUUUAUAAAGUUAAUAUUAUUAUGUGUGUUCAUACAUGUAAAUGAAAUUUGCUAAGCCUCUUUAGUGUUGCUUGCAUGUAGAUGUUUUUAGGUCUGGCCACCUGGAUCACCCGUUAGGAACUCAUCCCUGAGAAAGACUGGUUCUCCCUCUUGCAGCAGCCAUUAGCAAUCUCUCAGACUAUAGCUUGAGGGGCGGGCCUUGUGAGAUUGCUCUCAUCUGUGAUGGCAUGUCAAUCUGCGUUUUCCUUGUUCAGGUCCUGUUUAGCUGACCAACUGUUGACAUUUCAUGCGGGUAGCUUCCCUGAAAUAGAUUGAAGACACUAUCACCCAGGAUAUGUCCUGGUUGUCUGGCUCUUAUACCCACCCCCUUCCCCCACAUCUUCCACAAUGUUUCAUGAGCCCUGGGUAAAGGAGUUGUGUUGUAGAUGUAUCUAAUGGGACUGGGCACCUCAUGGUCUGUUCUCUGCAUUUUGACCAACUAUAGAUUUCUGUCAUGGUCUCCCUCUACAGCAUAAAGACACUUCUUUGAUGAAGGAUGAGAGCUACUCUUAGCAGUGGGUAUGAGGGUCUAUGUGGAUUUUAAGAUGAUGGACAACUCCAAGGAAAUGGUGUUUUUCAGACACAGCAGGAUGAUGGACAACAACAGUCAUGUAACCAGCACCUUGCGUUGGAGGUCAAGAGAUAUGCCUGCCAACCUCUGCCCUUCAUCAACCAGCUGCAGUGCCUUAGGAACAUCAUGGGAGCCCCGAGUCUUAUCUUUGUGUCCACAACACUACAGGUCAGGUCGAAGCACCCCUUCAUGUGCCACCAGUCAUGCUGAGAUUCCUUCACAGUGGUGACGGGGAGCCUGAUGGGUCAACAGGUCAUUAAGUAGAAGGAAAACUCGAACGGUCCUAUACAGUCUCGAGCUCUGCUAGAAUCAGCCCACUGAGUUAAAAGGCAUGAUGUUUUCAAGUUCAAGGUAUGUGAGAAGGGUGUGACUGUGUGUGAUGAUGAACAGGCUUUUGUGAAGAACAGUUAUCCUGACGGGACACUUUAGAGAACGUCUUUAAAGUUGGAGAAAACUUGGAAAAUGGCCCAUUAGAGGUCACCUCGACAGCUCCACAAAUCCAUAUCUUAUGUCUUUAAAAUACACAAGCUCCUUAAAACCAGGAACUUUACAGGAGCCCCUGGGCCCUAUGUAUCCACCUGUAUGGUCAACAUGUCUGCCUGUCUCUUGGACUUAGUGGUGACCUCUACAUAAAGUUUGUUUUGAGAAUGUGAGGUUUGACCCUUUGGAUACAUCUGGAACAGGAAAGACCUGAGGGAUUCCUGCAGUGAUGUAGAAAUAAGGAGGUGUGGGGGUGAGGGCGCUAAGGUGUUCCCCAGAUGAUGAGCAUGUCAGUGCAGGGCGCGUGGUAUUCUAUGCAUGGUAGAUUAUUGGUAUUCUCAUGAUUCCAAUUAUCAUUCCACAUCGUCUCAAAAGACAUGGUAUAAAUUAAAAUACCCGAGGACAGCUGUUUGUAUUCCCCUUAUGAGGAUUACUGAGCCUCUUCUGGGAGACGCUCCUUCUUCUAACUCAGGUGUGUUAACCUGACAGAUGUUAGCCUUCAUUCUGGCUGGCAACUGGGCAAAAUGUAGCGUCACCCAGGCAAAGGGAACCUCAAUGGAAGAAUUGCCCAGAUCAGACUGGGUCACAAGGCUUCUUCCUUUCCUUUAAUAAUAAUAAAAAUGUUUAUGGAUGUUUUACCUGCAUGAAUGAGUGCCUGGUGCUUGUGCAAGCCAAAAGAGGACAUUGGUUAUCCUGGAACUAGAGUCACAGAUAGUUAGAAUUUGGGUGCUGGGAAUUGAACCUGGAUCUCUGGAGAAAACACCAGUGCCUUUAAUCACUGAGCCAUCUCUCUAGCCCUUGGGAAGCAUUUUCCUAACUGCUAAUUGAUGUGGGAGGGCUGUCCAGCCCACUGUAUGUGGUGCCAUCCCUAGGCAGGUAUGCCUCAGCUGUAUACAACUGGUAUCUGUGCAAGCUAUGAGGAGAAAGACAAUACGCAGAAUCCCUCCAUGGUUUCUGCUUCACUUCUGCCUCAAAUCCCUUUGAUGAUGGACAUAACCUUUUAAAAAUAUUUUCUUUUCUUUAUUUUAUAUUAUGGGUAUGAUUGGGUGCCUGACUGGUGUCCAAAAAAGUCAAAAGAAGACAUCAAAUCCUCUGGAACUGGAAUCACAAACAGUUGUGAGCUGCCUUGUGGGUUGUGGGAAGUGAACCAGAAUUUCCUGAAAGAACAGUGGGCAGUGCAGUGCUCUUUAAUUUCUGAGCCAUCUCCCUAGCUCUGGAUUUUAAACUGAGAUAAACCUUCCCUCCUCUGGUCAUCUUUUUUUGUUUGUUUUUUGUUUGUUUGUUUGUUUUAUUAAAGUGUGUGUGUGUAUGCCUGAAUAUUAUGUGUGUAUAUGUGAAUAAAUGUGUAGAUACACAUUGUCCUUUCUGUCUGUCUGUCUUUCAGUUUUUCUCUCCGGACAUUUGUCUAUCCAUCCACCCACCCAUCCAUCCAUUUGUGUCUCUGUCCAUCAGUCUCUUCUUCUAAGUAUCUGUCUGUCUGUCUAAGCAUCUAUCUAUCCAUCCAUCCAUCCAUCCAGUCAGUCAUCAUGUCCUUCUGUACAUCUACUUCUACCCAUCCUGUCCUUCCUUCCUUCCUCCCCCUCCCUCCCUCCCCCUCCCUCCCCUCUCCCUCCCUUCCUUCCUUCUUUCCUUCUUUCCUUCUUUCCUUCUUUCCUUCCUUCCUUCCUUCCUUCCUUCCUUCCUUCCUUCCUUCCUUCCUUCAAUUCACCAUCUGUCUCUCUGUGCAUCCAUCUCUACACAUCCUGUUCAUCUGUCCAUCCAUCCAUCCAUUUACUCUUUCAUCCAUCCAUCCAACUAUUUUGCUUGUUCACAACUUGUCUGGCACUGUUGAGUUUUAUGCAGUUCAUACAUGUGCCCCUAUCAACACAAAAGUCACAUAUGAGAGACAUGGAUUAGGCUAUACUUUGUCAGUAUUUCCUCUUGGAUGGAUGGGAAGCUACUCUUGGAACACCCAAUUUCCAUCUCCAUGGUGUUCUAAGCCUGAAGAACACCUUUAUUGAAAUUUAUGUCCUGGAAUAAGGGGGCAUCAGUGAGUAUUCAGCUUUGAAUACACACAGGCUUCUUUUGUCCUAUGUCUUCCUCUGGCUGCCUUCUGAAGGUAGUGGCAACCAGAUUCAAUCACACCUCUACACUUCUCAGAAGACCCAAUAACUCAAAUACCAUUACGGCUUGGGUCUCUUUAAAUCAUGAACAUUCAAAGGACCUUUGAGGCCAUGUUUCCAAGUCUUUUAUCUUAAAUGUAGAGAAGCCGAAGCCCAGUGAUGAAGGGGGUAAUUGAGCCUUAUCUCCUGACUGUGCUUAGUCUGGUUUGGGAGAAAUCAAUGAACUAAAGGGUCUACACAGAAUUAUAAAUUGUAAUUGAAGGAAAUUACUGGAAGCCAUGACAUCUAUACCAGAGGCAGGACAGCUGGGGCUUCUAGAAGUGCUGCCCCAGGGGCAGAUGCUUGAAGCCUGACUGACAGGGUAGACUAGAGUCAAAAAGGCAAAGGAAGCAUGGUGGUGGGUGGCAGCAACCUUCCAGAGAAAGGAGUCCAAAGAUUGUGGUGCCUGUGGCACAGAAGAGACUUGCUUCGCCAGAUUGCUGGUGUAAGACUUUAAAUUUUCAGAAUGACAAGUCAGACAUCUCCUUUCUUAGUAACCCUAGGGUCCAUUCACAUCUACUUCAUCUCUUCUGAAACAGGCUGUCAUCAAUUGCAUUACUCACACAAAGCAGGAUGGCUAUUAUCUGAGCUGCCACCAGCUUGGGACACAGACACUGUAGAUUCAUGUGAGUGGAACAUAAUGAAACUUAAAGAAAGACUUUAGAGAAAUUUAUGCUUGCUGUUAAACUUAGGCAUUCCCCCCAAACUCAUGCGAGACAAAUGAUUGUUUAGCUUGAACAGUAAUAUAUUGCUACAGUUGGGGUGUGGAGGUAAGAAGGUCUUAUGGGAUGUGUGUUAUUUGGAAAUGUGUGGAAGGAUGUCUUUUCCUCUGGGUUAGAUACAUAGGACAUUCUGGAACUGUGAUACUGAGCUGGAUAAAGUGACACAGGUAUUAGGGAAAAUGCCACUGCUCUCUGCCUGUUCAGAUUCAUUCAUGUUUUUACAUGUCUAUGACAUUCAUAUAUGCUCUUCCUACUCGGUCCUGGCCACUCAUUUAAGGACCAGUAAAUAGUAAGAAAGAUCCAUUUUGUUGAUAACUGCCUUCCUCAGAGAUGGACAGGAGUGGGGCUCUGCAUCCGGAGCCACAGCGCCAGAGGAUGUGGUGGGAUGAGUGUGCUUAUUUCUUUCAUUUAUAGCUUGUGUCUAUCUCCUCCAUAGUCUCUUUGCCUUUUUAAAAAGAACCACAGACUGUGAAAGCAGGAAGAAGCCUUGGAAAUGAUGUGAUGUGACCUUUUCAUUCUCCAAAUGGGAAAACAAUUCCAGCAGAAUUGUGUGUGGCUUGCCUAGAGGCGUACGUCAGACGAGGACUGGAGAGGCUAAAUAAGCCUGUAACAGUUUACUGCACGAACCGCUUCCCUAAGUGAAUACAAAAUUGUCAUUGUGAGGACUCACACCUAUGAAUUUGAGUACAGCAUACAGCCGGAAGUAUACAGAUUCACGCCUACAUUCCUCAAAAAAAAAAAAAAACCCACAGAUUUUCUCAAGUAAUUUAGAAGCAGAGAAAAUGAAAAACAAGUAUUUAUCAUCACAAGCUUAGAGAAGGAGCCUCUAAUUGUAAGGUGCAAGGGAAACAGAGUGAUUUCCCCAGAAACUCACCUGUCUCUUAAUCACCUCUACUGCUCUAACUUAUGAGUUCUGUGUACUUUGCAUCCCUCAGUAUCCCUACCUACCAUAAAACUGGCUUCAAGAUAUCUAUAUCUAUACCUCUAUCUAUCUAUCUAUCUAUCUAUCUAUCUAUCUAUCUAUCUAUCUAUCUAUCUAUCUACACACACACAGAGAGAGAGAGAGAGAGAGAGAGAGAGAGAGAGAGAAUUUAACUUGCUAUUUCAAUCAAUUGACCAAUACAGCCACAAAGAAAUAUCUGCCUUCACUGCUGUAUACCUGUCUCAGAUCAUACAGCAGGAAGAGUUCACGAUAUCCUCCAGACUUUGGUUCAGAGAAAAACUUGAACACAGGCAGUAAAGUGGAGCAGGGGCAGCAAAGAGGCAGCAGGUUGUAGAAGCACCCCCCCCCCCCCCAGAAUGUGAUUCUCUAAGCCCAGAUCACAUGCACACAUUUAAAGUGAGGUUUCUCCUCAAUUCUCUCACACAUCGAUGCCCCUAAGAAGCUGUCUCACACCUUCUUAGAAACACAGGUGGAAAAACAUGGAAAGAAUAAGGAACACCAGGUAAAGAAAGUGAUAGAGCUGUGAUUUUACUAUGUUUAAGUGGUGGCAAUUCCCACCUGUUCAAACGGAGACCAAGCUGAUUUUACCUGUGAGAUAAAUCUUGAGUUCAUGUGUGGAAUUUUCAUAUGCAACUAUUUUACAUACAUAUAAACUCUUGUUUCUUAAUUUCCCACUUAACGCUAUCCUCUGUGCCCCUCCCUGAUUCUAUCUUCCCACCACGCUAAGUCUUUCUUUGAAUUCAGAAUGGACGAGAAAGGUGGGAUGCUGCCCCAAACCAUUCCCUCGAUACUCACCCUGAGCCCCAUGAGAUAGUAGAGGACGCUGAUGAGGGUCAUCGGGAGGAUGUAGAAGAGGAAGGAGGUAGCUUGGAUGAUGAAGUUAUACACCCAUAUGGGUUUGGUGACUGUGCAGGUGGCAGAGCCGGGCACAGAGGACCCGUUGGGAAACUGCUGGAACUUGAUGCCAUGGAUGCUGGUGUUGGGCAAAGAAAAGACCACAGAGAAGCUCCAGACUAGGCUGAGGAUCCUGAGGGCCCGUCGCCGUGUGCUCUCCAGCUUGGCUCGGAACGGAUGGACAAUGGCCACGUAGCGCUCAAUGCUAACCGUGGUGACACUGAGAAUGGAGGCAAAGCACACAGUCUCGAAAAGGGCUGUCUUGAAGUAGCAUCCCACCGGCCCAAACAGGAAGGGAUAAUUGUGCCACAACUCGUAGACCUCCAGUGGCAUACCUAAGAGCAGGACCAGCAAGUCUGAGACUGCCAAGCUGAAGAGAUAGUAGUUGGUGGGUGUCUUCAAAGUUUGAUGUCGGGCAAUCACCAGGCACACCAGAAGAUUGCCUAUCACCCCCACCACGAAGAUCAGCGCAUAGACCACAGACACUGGAAGGGAUAGGUCACUGCGCUUGGGUCCACACAGAACACACAAUGGAAGCAACUUGCAUGAAGAACUUGUGGGGCUGGUGAGAUGGCUCAGGACUAAAGCUUUCCACAAAGUCUGGCCACUGGAGUUCAAUCCCUGAGACUUACAGACGGUCGUGGUUGUUAAUACGGAGACUCACAACUCGGCAAAGUGCAGAGGAGAAGCAACUGUGAACGUUUAGCUGUACACGAAACAUCUGUGUUUCCUCUCUGAGCUCAAGGAACUUCAUGGAAGAAGAGAUGGAAAGAAUACUGAAUCCUCCAUAUGCCUGGCACCAGACUAGGACUGCUGGGACAUCCAGCCCCAGUGAACUGAACAAACAACUGCUGGAUUCCUGGGUAUCAGCUACUGUACACAGAAGAGACACAUUAGUCCUGUACCUCACAAGACACGGAUUCUCAGCUGUGUUACCAACGAGCAGGCUUUACAUGGGAUCCUCCCACAGUAAAUAAUGAAGAUGCUGUUUCCUGGGUCUCCUCAAAGCCUUCAGAUUCAGAAUCUCUGACAGCAGACCCUCAUGGCUUCCACUUUCCCAAAUGGUCCUCACAUGUCUUAAAGAACCACUCAAUAAUUCAGAUGCCAUUAUAUAGAUGCAGUUUUCAGAAAAUGCAUUGCCCUUCUCUAACUAUCCUGGACUUCAUUGUUCUGCACUUCAAAAUCAAAAUCUCUUUUAUAAAACUACCUCUGCAGGAGCCUUUGACCAUACUGAACUAUCAAAAGAGCACAUGGAUGAAGGGCAAGCAGCCACCUGACCGGAAAAUCUGCCCUUCAUUUUAGACCUGACUCACCAACCUUUUAAGGAAACCCUGUAAUGCUGUUGAGUGUGUGUAAUGACCGGAUGGGGAUUCAGGCAGGAAGCUUGUCAUACCUUGAUGAACAAUGAAAGAAAGCACUCUGCGGGUCACAGACAGGAAGAUGAAGAUAGCCCAAUGUUUGGGACAAUGCAAACCUGGUACAUUGGUGAUUGAAGUGUCUAGUUUGCACAGAUAGAGCAGUGAGCCUGUGCCUUAUCAUCCUUUGAGUAGAGCUGUAUAAUCAUUCCUGCUGUUGUACGUGGAUGCCCCCCUAUGUAUCUUUGUGCUUCCAAGAUGUGGCAGCCAGCUUGGGAUAAAUAAUCUUCUUAGUCUAAGUAGAGGGAUAAGGAGGCACUGGCUCAGGUGAUGAUGUGAGACCUGCUAGAUGUCAUGGCUCUAAGUGCAUAGGUUAUGGCCACUGUGCUCUAGCCCAGCCCUGGUCUACCUUCUGAUUAUUUCUUUUAUUUUGCUUUUAUUUAUGUUUGUAUAGGGUGUGUGUAGUGCCCAUUGAGGCCAGAAAAGGCACUGGAUUCUUCCCAGAGCUGAAAUUGCAGGCAGUUGUGACCUAUCACAUGGAUUCUGGGCACCAAACUCAGGUUCUCUGUGUUAGUAUCCAGUGUUCUUAAACUGCUAAGCUAUCUCUCCAGUGACCAUCUUACCCCUACCCCAUAUUCCCUUAGAGAACAGCUCAUUCCAGAAUUUGCCUGAAUUUUGUUCUGUAUCCUUUGAGUAGACAGACUGUGAAGACCCAGAGUGUGUUUUUUUUUUUUUUUUUUUUUGGCCUGGCCAGUCUGACUAUGGCUGUGUCUUUGAGGCCUACUUUCACAUUCUGUACUGUUUUGUUUUUCCAAUUUUCACAAAACAAAUUAGGUUUCUCUUUGAACGGGUGCAGGAAUAGAAGCAGGAGGCCUAUAAAAUAGCUUGGAUUUAUGGCCCAUCUCAGAGGCGACUUUUUUUUUUUUCCAUCUCACCUAGGCUGAAAUUACUGCAGUCUGUUCACUGCAGCUCUUUGGAACUUAUUCUCCAUUUAGACUGCGUCCUUGUAAAACUAGGAUACAGAAUGACACUGCAGUUUCUGAGGAACAGUCUGGAAGCCUACGCUGCGCCUGGCUUAUGCACAAAUUCAAAUAGGUUUGUUACAAAGCUACUUCUAUGAAGAUGCUCGUUUUCCAACCCCUGAGAUCUGCCAUUAGCUCUGCACAGCAUAUACCGCCCGAGGGGUCCCAGGAGACCUCCAUGAUGCUUUUAAUGAUACUUUCAGGGCAUUUAAAAGUGAAAUAUAAAAGGAAAGUGGUUAUGCUGAGAUAACCUGGAUUUUAGCUCAGACUCUGUUUAUUUCAUCAGGACUAGAUUAAAGCUCUCUGGCCUCAGACUUUCUCAACUGUCGGGUGGGAGGGGAGACCUCCAGGUGUGUUUUUGAAACAAUGUUGCUUAGAAUACAAGUGAAAUAUCUAAAAGUAACUAUACCCGUAGGCAGCAGUGGCAACAUUGUUAAUAUGCUGGCCAUCUGUUCCCCUGAUUUUGGGAUCAAAGUACUCUAGGAAUUCUGUAGGUAUGGUCCUGAAUCCAGAGCAGAAUGUAUUGAAAAGCUUAUUGUUUGGUAAUAGAUCAAGGGAACAAGCAUGGAAGAGGCACCGUGAAACUGCAUAGGAACACUGUGCCUCUGACUUUGGGGGAGUCCUUGGACAUGCUGCUCUCUGGGCUCUCUGGUCUGCAAGCCAUGCCUUCCAUGUCUGUGGUCUCCCUGAAGGACACACACACACAUAAAUACACACACAAAUACACACACACACACACACACACACACACAAAUACACACACAAAUACACACACACACACCACUCAUACACACACACACACACACACACACCACUCAUACACACACACACACACACACUUACACACACACCACACACUUGCAUAAACAUCAGACACUCCUCACACACUCACACACAAAUAGUUCUUACACAAUACAUUACUCUCACACACACAUACACACACACCACUAACAUACAUACACCAGUCACAUAGACACCUACCACACACUCGCAUAGGCACCACGCACCACUCACACACACAUACAUAUACCCACCAUAUGCACACACAUUUACACACCACACACACAUACAUAUCCCCACACACAUACACACACAUACCACUCACACAUACCACUAAUACACACAUCACUCAUAUACAUGCACAUACAUACAUACCACAUACUCACAUACACAAUACACAUACACAGGCACACAUGCAAGCACACCACACACUCACAUAACACACUCACACACAUAUACUAUACAUAGUCACACAUACCACAUAUAGUCACACAUGUGUACACACUGACACAUGCUCUCACACACAUAUUCACACACAUAUACGUAUAUUCACACAUAUAAACAUUCACACAACACAGGCAGUUGCAACAGAGAUCUAAUGUCCUAACUGUUCUUUGCUUUUUGGUAGCACUUGGUAGAAUCUUAGAACAUCAUAAAAGAACAGCUCUGUACAAAUAUGGCCACAUGGGACCAUGUGACCUAGGUUUGAGUGACCCAUCCUUGGCUCUACUUCCUUUUCUUACCGUAAAACCCUCUCAUCCUCUCCCUUAAGUCGAAGCUCUUCUUCUUUCUCCCUUUCAUGGUACAGUUCAUGCCCCAGUGCACAUGAAGCUCAUAGGAAGAGGAGAUUCUUGCUUCCCAUCCUUUGUAAGUACCAGCCAUAAGGAUGCUCCACAAGGGCAGAUCAUCAUCAAACACCAAGUGGGCUAAUCAGUAAGUUAUCUACAAGUUAUGCUAUGGGAAACAAACACUAAGCCCCACAGAUAAGCAGGUAGAGGCAAAAAUAACUGUAAUAUAAUAGAUCAACAGUAGCUUUAGUUUAGAGUACAUUUCUAAAGGUAACAGAAAAGGAAACAAACAGAAGGGUUCUCAACGGAACAAAUGGCUGCUUUUAUUUAAACCCCAACUACUAUAAAGUCGGUAAUCUGAAAAGGAGAAAACCAACUUCACAGAAAGAAAUCAAGGAAACUCGGAUGCCAGAACUUUCCGGUCAGGAGACAUGCCUGUUAAAGAUCAGUCAGAGGUGCUCAGUCCCAAGCUGGAAUGCUCAGAGAAUUAGAAUCAUAUACCCAGACUCCUGUUAGAAAGCUGAAAUC